rnacentral:rRNA from 1 species
UGCUCAGGAUGAACGCUGGCGGCGUGCCUAAUACAUGCAAGUCGAGCGAACAGACAAGGAGCUUGCUCCUUUGACGUUAGCGGCGGACGGGUGAGUAACACGUGGGUAACCUACCUAUAAGACUGGGAUAACUUCGGGAAACCGGAGCUAAUACCGGAUAAUAUUUCGAACCGCAUGGUUCGAUAGUGAAAGAUGGUUUUGCUAUCACUUAUAGAUGGACCCGCGCCGUAUUAGCUAGUUGGUAAGGUAACGGCUUACCAAGGCGACGAUACGUAGCCGACCUGAGAGGGUGAUCGGCCACACUGGAACUGAGACACGGUCCAGACUCCUACGGGAGGCAGCAGUAGGGAAUCUUCCGCAAUGGGCGAAAGCCUGACGGAGCAACGCCGCGUGAGUGAUGAAGGUCUUCGGAUCGUAAAACUCUGUUAUUAGGGAAGAACAUACGUGUAAGUAACUAUGCACGUCUUGACGGUACCUAAUCAGAAAGCCACGGCUAACUACGUGCCAGCAGCCGCGGUAAUACGUAGGUGGCAAGCGUUAUCCGGAAUUAUUGGGCGUAAAGCGCGCGUAGGCGGUUUUUUAAGUCUGAUGUGAAAGCCCACGGCUCAACCGUGGAGGGUCAUUGGAAACUGGAAAACUUGAGUGCAGAAGAGGAAAGUGGAAUUCCAUGUGUAGCGGUGAAAUGCGCAGAGAUAUGGAGGAACACCAGUGGCGAAGGCGCACUCUCUGGUCUGUAACUGACGCUGAUGUGCGAAAGCGUGGGGAUCAAACAGGAUUAGAUACCCUGGUAGUCCACGCCGUAAACGAUGAGUGCUAAGUGUUAGGGGGUUUCCGCCCCUUAGUGCUGCAGCUAACGCAUUAAGCACUCCGCCUGGGGAGUACGACCGCAAGGUUGAAACUCAAAGGAAUUGACGGGGACCCGCACAAGCGGUGGAGCAUGUGGUUUAAUUCGAAGCAACGCGAAGAACCUUACCAAAUCUUGACAUCCUUUGACAACUCUAGAGAUAGAGCCUUCCCCUUCGGGGGACAAAGUGACAGGUGGUGCAUGGUUGUCGUCAGCUCGUGUCGUGAGAUGUUGGGUUAAGUCCCGCAACGAGCGCAACCCUUAAGCUUAGUUGCCAUCAUUAAGUUGGGCACUCUAAGUUGACUGCCGGUGACAAACCGGAGGAAGGUGGGGAUGACGUCAAAUCAUCAUGCCCCUUAUGAUUUGGGCUACACACGUGCUACAAUGGACAAUACAAAGGGCAGCGAAACCGCGAGGUCAAGCAAAUCCCAUAAAGUUGUUCUCAGUUCGGAUUGUAGUCUGCAACUCGACUACAUGAAGCUGGAAUCGCUAGUAAUCGUAGAUCAGCAUGCUACGGUGAAUACGUUCCCGGGUCUUGUACACACCGCCCGUCACACCACGAGAGUUUGUAACACCCGAAGCCGGUGGAGUAACCAUUUGGAGCUAGCCGUCGAAGGUGGGACAAAUGAUUGGGGUGAAG